rnacentral:rRNA from 1 species
UACGAAGGGGGCUAGCGUUACUCGGAUUGACUGGGCGUAAAGGGCGCGUAGGCGGUUCGUACAGUCAGACGUGAAAUUCCUGGGCUCAACCUGGGGGCUGCGUUUGAUACGUGCGGGCUUGAGUUCGGAAGAGGGUCGUGGAAUUCCCAGUGUAGAGGUGAAAUUCGUAGAUAUUGGGAAGAACACCGGUGGCGAAGGCGGCGACCUGGUCCGAUACUGACGCUGAGGCGCGAAAGCGUGGGGAUCAAACAGG